rnacentral:rRNA from 1 species
GAACUGAAGAGUUUGAUCCUGGCUCAGAUUGAACGCUGGCGGCAUGCCUUACACAUGCAAGUCGAACGGCAGCACGGGGGCAACCCUGGUGGCGAGUGGCGAACGGGUGAGUAAUGCAUCGGAACGUGUCCUGUCGUGGGGGAUAACCAGUCGAAAGAUUGGCUAAUACCGCAUGAGAUCGAGAGAUGAAAGCGGGGGACCGCAAGGCCUCGCGCGAUAGGAGCGGCCGAUGCCGGAUUAGCUAGUUGGCGGGGUAACGGCCCACCAAGGCGACGAUCCGUAGCUGGUUUGAGAGAACGACCAGCCACACUGGGACUGAGACACGGCCCAGACUCCUACGGGAGGCAGCAGUGGGGAAUUUUGGACAAUGGGCGCAAGCCUGAUC